GUGUCUUUUGAAAGGAGAGCAGGUUAGCACUCCCCUUGACAAGGAUGGAACACACAUUGGGCCGGGAUGGCACAAAAUUCU